rnacentral:rRNA from 1 species
UACGUAGGGUGCAAGCGUUGUCCGGAAUCAUUGGGCGUAAAGCGCGCGUAGGUGGCUUCGUAAGUCCGUUGUGAAAGUCAAAGGCUCAACCUUUGAAUGCCGAUGGAUACUGCGAAGCUAGAGUACGGAGGAGGCGAGUGGAAUUCCUGGUGUAGCGGUGGAAUGCGCAGAUAUCAGGAGGAACACCAAUAGCGAAGGCAGCUCGCUGGGACGUUACUGACACUAAGGCGCGAAAGCGUGGGGAGCGAACAGG